rnacentral:rRNA from 1 species
CAGCAGCCGCGGUAAUACGUAGGGUGCAAGCGUUAAUCGGAAUUACGGGGCGUAAAGCGUGCGCAGGCGGUUAUAUAAGUCAGAUGUGAAAUCCCCGGGCUCAACCUGGGAACUGCAUUUGAGACUGUAUGGCUAGAGUGUGUCAGAGGGGGGUAGAAUUCCACGUGUAGCAGUGAAAUGCGUAGAUAUGUGGAGGAAUACCGAUGGCGAAGGCAGCCCCCUGGGAUAACACUGACGCUCAUGCACGAAAGCGUGGGGAGCAAACAGGAUUAGAUACCCCUGUAGUCCCUGUCUCUUAUAC